UCUGGAGUGGAGGUCUGCAAGCGCAAUGGCCCGGGCACCGGUAUCUGCCCGCUCUGUGGAGUCCCUGAGGACUCAAACCACAUCUUCUUCUCCUGCGUUUCCGCCCAAUUUCUCUGGAGCUGUUUUCGUAAGGUGGUCGGCGGUAGUUGGUGCCACACCAACUUCCCGGACCUAUUUGCUGAAAUCCAGUCGUCCCCCGCGUCCUCUCGCCACAUUAGGUGGCUUGAGGUUGGGGUUCUCGCCUGGACGUUGUGGACCGUUCGCAAUAAGCUUGUGAUCCAGCAUGCUCCCCUUCGUCGCGCUACUGACGCUCUCUACAAAUUUGCGGGUUUCUUGCAGCUUUGGCGGCUGCUU
rnacentral:rRNA from 1 species